AGAGUUUGAUCCUGGCUCAGAACGAACGCUGGCGGCGUGGAUAAGACAUGCAAGUCGAACGCUGGUUUGCGGGUAGCAAUAUUUGCAAACUGGAGUGGCGCAAGGGUGUGUAACACGUGGGUAAUCUGCCGUGAAGUCUGGGAUAACUUGCUGAAAGGCGAGCUAAUACCGGAUGUGAACGCAAGUUCAAAGUUGGGGACCGUAAGGCCUGACGCUUCACGAUGAGCCCGCGGCCUAUCAGCUAGUUGGUGAGGUAACGGCUCACCAAGGCUAAGACGGGUAGCUGGUCUGAGAGGACGACCAGCCACACUGGAACUGAGACACGGUCCAGACACCUACGGGUGGCAGCAGUCGAGAAUUUUUCUCAAUGGGCGAAAGCCUGAAGGAGCGACGCCGCGUGGGGGAUGAAUGGCUUCGGCCCGUAAACCCCUGUCAUUUGCGAACAAAUUGUUUCACCUAACACGUGAAGCAUUGAUUGUAGCGAAAGAGGAAGGGACGGCUAACUCUGUGCCAGCAGCCGCGGUAAUACAGAGGUCCCAAGCGUUGUUCGGAUUCACUGGGCGUAAAGGGUGCGUAGGCGGCCAGGUAAGUUUGAUGUGAAAUCCCGCAGCUCAACUGCGGAACUGCAUUGAAUACUAUUUGGCUCGAGGAAUGGAGGGGAGACUGGAAUUCUCGGUGUAGCAGUGAAAUGCGUAGAUAUCGAGAGGAACACCAGUGGCGAAGGCGAGUCUCUGGACAUUUCCUGACGCUCAGGCACGAAAGCCAGGGGAGCAAACGGGAUUAGAUACCCCCGUAGUCC
rnacentral:rRNA from 1 species